rnacentral:rRNA from 1 species
GAUGAACGCUAGCGGCAGGCCUAAUACAUGCAAGUCGAACGGUGUCUUCGGACAUAGUGGCGCACGGGUGCGUAACACGUAUGCAACCUACCUUACAUUGGGGGAUAGCCUUUCGAAAGGGAGAUUAAUACCGCAUAAGACAGUAGCUGGGCAUCCAGCAGCUGUUAAAGAUUUAUCGAUGUAAGCUGGGCAUGCGUCCAAUUAGCUAGUUGGUGAGGUAACGGCUCACCAAGGCUUUGAUUGGUAGGGGAACUGAGAGGUCAAUCCCCCACACUGGCACUGAGAUACGGGCCAGACUCCUACGGGAGGCAGCAGUAGGGAAUAUUGGGCAAUGGACGCAAGUCUGACCCAGCCAUGCCGCGUGCAGGAUGAAGGCGUUAUGCGUUGUAAACUGCUUUUAUACAGGAAGAAACGACUCUUGCGAGAGGCAUUGACGGUACUGUAUGAAUAAGCACCGGCUAACUCCGUGCCAGCAG